GGAGAGGUGGCCGAGCGGUUUAAGGCGCUUGAUUCGAAAUCAAGUAUACUCUUUAGUGGGUAUCGGGGGUUCGAAUCCCCCCCUCUCCG
rnacentral:tRNA from 1 species